UGGCUCUCGCAUCGAUGAAGAACGCAGCGAAAUGCGAUAAGUAAUGUGAAUUGCAGAAUUCAGUGAAUCAUCGAAUCUUUGAACGCAUCUUGCGCUCCUUGGUAUUCCAUGGAGCAUGCCUGUUUGAGUGUCAUGAAUAUCUCAAAUUCUUAUCUCUUUUUCUUCGAGUUAACAAUUUGGACUUGGGGGUCUUGCAAGCGAUUGGUCUUGCUCUCCUUAAAUUCAUUAGCUGGAUUCUUCUAGGUGUCUAUCCGGUGUAAUAAAUUAUCUACAUCGCGUAGUUCACAUGUCAAAGUAUUACCCUGACUUAACAUCAGUGUCGUAGUCUUGAUUAUAAUGAAAUGAAUUCGCUUCUAAUCUCACGUUUCGUGACAUAACUCUCAUCAUCUGACCUCAAAUCAGGUAGGACUACCCGCUGA
rnacentral:misc_RNA from 1 species